AUGGCGCACGCUGGGAGACCGGGUGACAGUUAUCAGUAUGGAAUUACGUCAAUAACUAAUGCAGCACAUGCUUUGGAGGGCAGCAGUGUCACGCUGUCAUGCAACUACACUGGCGAUAAUAUUGGAGACAGUCUACAAUGGUAUCGGCAGUACCCCAGAUCCAAACCUGAAUUCCUCAUCCUCAUCUUCAGAAAUGGUAGUGGGAUUGAGCCAACAAAGAAAGUUGGACGAUUUUAUGUUAAACUUGACAAAGAGAACAGUCGUGUGCAUCUGGAGAUCUCCUCUGCUGAAGUGACAGACUCUGCACUGUACUACUGUUCUGUGCAAGCCCAGCGUUAA